UACGAAGGGGGCUAGCGUUGUUUCGGAAUUACUGGGCGUAAAGGGCGCGUAGGCGGUCCUUUCAAGUCAGGCGUGAAAGCCCCGGGCUCAACCUGGGAACCGCGCUUGAGACUGGCGGGCUAGAGUUCGGGAGAGGAUGGUGGAAUUCCCAGUGUAGAGGUGAAAUUCGUAGAUAUUGGGAAGAACACCGAGUGGACGAAGGCAGCCAGUCUGGACCGACGAC
rnacentral:rRNA from 1 species